rnacentral:rRNA from 1 species
CCUACGGGGGGCUGCAGUGGGGAAUAUUGGGCAAUGGAGGAAACUCUGACCCAGCAACGCCGCGUGAAGGAUGAAGGUUUUCGGAUUGUAAACUUCUGUCGCGAGGGAUGAAGAAUGACGGUACCUCGUAAGAAAGCCCCGGCAAACUACGUGCCAGCAGCCGCGGUAAUACGUAUGGAGCAAGCGUUAUCCGGAUUUACUGGGUGUAAAGGGAGAGUAGGUGGCAGAGCAAGUCCGAAGUGAAAACCCAAAGCUCAACUAUGGGAAUGCUUUAGAAACUGCGCAGCUAGAGUGCAGGAGAGGCAAGUGGAAUUCUUAGUGUAGCGGUGAAAUGCGUAGAUAUUAGGAGGAACACCAGUGGCGAAGGCGGCUUGCUGGACUGUAACUGACACUGAGGCUCGAAAGCGUGGGGAGCAAACAGGAUUAGAUACCCCAGUAGUC